UAUCAAAUACUAAGCAAAAAUAAUGAUGAGAUGCAAGGAUUACUGAUUUUUGUUAAUAACUUUUCAUAAGUAUAUUUUAAGUUUCUUUUGUUCCAUGGGUAUCUUGGUACACCUAUGUGUUCAUCCUCAUUUUCUUAUUUUGGGUACCCAAGCCUGCUUGGGUCCUUGAGAGUUAGGACAUAUGGUUCCUUUUGGAACCCAUAUCUGUUUAAUAUUAAUAACUUUACCAUUUGAUUUAAUUGUGUUAGAACGAUAGGUAAAGUUGUUAUGCCCAUUCUUUUCGUUUUUGAAAUAAGUUAUCUUAUUUAAUGGUUUGUUUGGUGAAUUAAUAACCUUUUUCUCUAGAGAUUUAUUGUUAAGUAAAGAAGUCAAGCCAAGUUUUGAUUUAUCAUAAGUAACAUAUUGGCUUUCAAACAUCAUUUUUAAUCGUUCUGAACUUACGGUGAAUUUGUUAAUAAAAGAUUUUAAUUGAUUAAUUUCUUUACUUAAGUUUUGAUUUUCUUUAAUUAAGCUAUGAUUUUUCUGAAUCAAUUCUUCUGAAAAUGACCUUAAN
rnacentral:lncRNA from 1 species